CAUGGUGGCUAUAACGACGUGGACCCACCUCUUCCCAUUCCGAACAGAGAAGUUAAACGCGUUUGUGCCGAUGGUACUGCCCUACCAGGUGGGAGAGUAGGUAGCCGCCGCCC
rnacentral:rRNA from 1 species